GACGGAGGGUGCUAGCGUUGUUCGGAAUGACUGGGCGUAAAGGGCGCGUAGGCGGCUCGUGAAGUCGGGUGUGAAAGCCCGGGGCUCAACCCCGGAACGGCAUCCGAUACUGGCGGGCUUGAGACCGGGAGAGGAGGGUGGAAUACCCAGUGUAGAGGUGAAAUUCGUAGAUAUUGGGUGGAACACCGGUGGCGAAGGCGGCUCUCUGGCCCGGAUCCGACGCUGAGGCGCGAAAGCGUGGGGAGCAAACAGG
rnacentral:rRNA from 1 species